rnacentral:rRNA from 1 species
AUUGAACGCUAGCGGGAUGCCUUACACAUGCAAGUCGAACGGAGUGGCGAACGGGUGAGUAAUGUAUCGGAACGUGCCCAGUAGCGGGGGAUAACUACGCGCAAGCGUAGCUAAUACCGCAUACUAUUGGAGCGGCCGAUAUCGGAUUAGUUAGUUGGUGGGGUAACGGGUCACCCAGGCGACGAUCCGUAGCUGGUUUGAGAGGACGACCAGCCACACUGGGACUGAGACAUGGCCCAGACGCCGUCGGGAGGCAGCAGGGGGGAAUUGUUGAAAAUGGGGGAAACCCUGAUCGAGCCAUCCCGCGGGGGAGAUGAAGGCCUUCGGGUUGGAAAGCUCUGUUAAUCGGGACGCGGUACCGGAAUAGAAAGCCACGGCUAACUACGUGCCAGCAGCCGCGGUAAUAC